rnacentral:rRNA from 1 species
CGGAGGGGGCUAGCGUUGUUCGGAAUUACUGGGCGUAAAGCGCACGUAGGCGGACUGGAAAGUCAGAGGUGAAAUCCCAGGGCUCAACCUUGGAACUGCCUUUGAAACUAUCAGUCUGGAGUUCGAGAGAGGUGAGUGGAAUUCCGAGUGUAGAGGUGAAAUUCGUAGAUAUUCGGAGGAACACCAGUGGCGAAGGCGGCUCACGUGGCUCGAUACUGACGCUGAGGUGACGAAAGCGUGGGGAGCAAACGAGGAUU